UCAAGCAAGAAAGAGCACAAGGAGAAUGCCUUGGCACUAGGAGCCGAUGAAAGACGUGGUAAGCUGCGAAAAGCUUCGGGGAGGCGCAAACAGCCAUCGAUCCGGAGAUAUCUGAAUGGGGAAACCUACUUGAGCAAACCUCAAGUAUCCAUGCGUGAAUUCAUAGCGCAUGGAAGGGAACGCUGUGAACUGAAACAUCUAAGUAGCAGUAGGAGGAGAAAGAAAACUCGAUUUCCUAAGUAGCGGCGAGCGAACGGGAAAGAGGCCAAACCGAAGGACCUGGUUCUUCGGGGUUGUGGACUGCAUUUAGCAUUGCUGAGAGAUAGACGAAUGGUUUUGGGAAAGCCAGCCGUAGACGGUGAAAGCCCGGUAGACGAAAUCUUGAAGCAGCGAGCAGUAUCCAGAGUACCACGGGACACGAGAAACCCUGUGGGAAGCCGGGGGGACCACCCUCCAAGCCUAAAUACUCCCUAGUGACCGAUAGUGAAGCAGUACUGUGAAGGAAAGGUGAAAAGGACCCCGGGAGGGGAGUGAAAGAGAACCUGAAACCUUGUGCUUACAAACAGUCAAAGGCCUACGGGCUGAUGGCGUACUUUUUGUAGAACGGUCCGGCGAGUUACUAAUGCCAGCGAGGUUAAGUGGUCAGAAGCCACGGAGCCGAAGGGAAACCAAGUCUGAAUAGGGCGUAGAGUUGGUAUUAGUAGACCCGAAACCGGGUGACCUAUCCAUGUCCAGGUUGAAGGAACCGUAAAAGGUUUUGGAGGACCGAACACACAUGUGUUGAAAAACGUGGUGAUGAGGUGUGGAUAGCGGAGAAAUUCCAAUCGAACUCGGAGAUAGCUGGUUCUCCUCGAAAUAGCUUUAGGGCUAGCCUCGAGCUGGAGUCUAACGGAGGUAAAGCACUGAACUGACGCGGGGCCCAAAAAGGUUACCAACUCAUAUCAAACUAAGAAUGCCGUCAAGAUACCCUCGGGAGUCAGUCUGCGUGAGAUAAGUCGCGUGGACAAAAGGGAAAGAGCCCAGACCGACAGCUAAGGUCCCAAAGUACGUGUUAAGUGGAAAAGGAUGUGGGAUUUCAUAGACAACUAGGAUGUUGGCUUAGAAGCAGCCAUACAUUUAAAGAGUGCGUAAUAGCUCACUAGUCGAGAAAACCUGCGCCGAAAAUGUAACGGGGCUAAAACACGACACCGAAGCUACGGAUUUCCUACUAGGUAGGAAGUGGUAGAGGAGCAUCCUGCAAGGACGAAGCCAAAGUGAGAGCGAUGGUGGACGAAACAGGAGAGAGAAUGCCGGAAUGAGUAGCGAGAUACAUGUGAGAAACAUGUAGGCCGAAUAUCUAAGGAUUCCUGGGUAAAGCUAAUCUUCCCAGGGUUAGUCGGGGCCUAAGGCGAGGACGAGAGUCGUAGUCGAUGGAUAACAGGUUGAUAUUCCUGUACUACACAUAAUCAGAACUGUGGGGACGCAGGAGGAUAGGGAAACCGGGGAAUGGAAAGACCCGGUCAAGCGCAAAGCUGUGGGAGAUAGGCAAAUCCGUCUCUUGUAAGUGAAGCGUGAUGAGGACUGAAAAAAAGUAAGGAAGUUUCCGAAUCCACACUGCCGAGAAAAGCCGCUAUUGCGUUAUGUGUACCCGUACCGUAAACCGACACAGGUAGAUGAGGAGAAAAUCCACAGGCCGACGGGAGAAGUGUUGUUAAGGAACUCGGCAAAAUGACCCCGUAACUUCGGGAUAAGGGGAGCCUCGCAAGAGGCCGCAGAAAAGAGGCACAAGCAACUGUUUAGCAAAAACAUAGGUCUAUGCGAAACCGUAAGGUGAAGUAUAUGGGCUGACGCCUGCCCGGUGCUGGAAGGUUAAAAGGAGAGGUCAGCGCAAGCGAAGCUUUGAAUUCAAGCCCCAGUAAACGGCGGCCGUAACUAUAACGGUCCUAAGGUAGCGAAAUUCCUUGUCAGGUAAGUUCUGACCCGC
rnacentral:rRNA from 1 species